ACAUGCCUACAACAUAGUGUUAAUGCAUUAGAUCCCAUUAGAAAUUUGCAGUUAAGCAUGGUCAAUCUAGAGUAGUACUGGGAUGGGUGACCACCCAAGAAGUCCUAGUGUUUUACAUGCA
rnacentral:rRNA from 1 species